AGAGUUUGAUCCUGGCUCAGGAUGAACGCUAGCGGCAGGCCUAACACAUGCAAGUCGAGGGAGGAGCUUUCGGGCUUCGACCGGCGUACGGGUGCGUAACGCGUAUACAAUCUGCCUUUCACAUAGGGAUAGCCCGAAGAAAUUUGGAUUAAUACCUAAUGGUAUAUAGGAGUGGCAUCACAUUUAUAUUAAAGCUGAGGCGGUGAAAGAUGAGUAUGCGUUCUAUUAGCUAGUUGGAGAGGUAACGGCUCCCCAAGGCGACGAUAGAUAGGGGUUCUGAGAGGGAUAUCCCCCACACUGGUACUGAGAUACGGACCAGACUCCUACGGGAGGCAGCAGUGAGGAAUAUUGGACAAUGGUCGGAAGACUGAUCCAGCCAUGCCGCGUGCAGGAUGACGGCCUUAUGGGUUGUAAACUGCUUUUGUAAGGGAAGAAUAAGGAGUACGUGUACUUUGAUGACGGUACCUUACGAAUAAGCAUCGGCUAACUCCGUGCCAGCAGCCGCGGUAAUACGGAGGAUGCGAGCGUUAUCCGGAAUCAUUGGGUUUAAAGGGUCCGUAGGCGGGCUAAUAAGUCAGAGGUGAAAGCGCUCAGCUCAACUGAGCAACUGCCUUUGAAACUGUUAGUCUUGAAUGGUUGUGAAGUAGUUGGAAUGUGUAGUGUAGCGGUGAAAUGCUUAGAUAUUACACAGAACACCGAUAGCGAAGGCAUAUUACUAACAAUUAAUUGACGCUGAUGGACGAAAGCGUGGGGAGCGAACAGGAUUAGAUACCCUGGUAGUCCACGCUGUAAACGAUGGAUACUAGCUGUUUGGUUGUAAGACUGAGUGGCUAAGCGAAAGUGAUAAGUAUCCCACCUGGGGAGUACGCACGCAAGUGUGAAACUCAAAGGAAUUGACGGGGGCCCGCACAAGCGGUGGAGCAUGUGGUUUAA
rnacentral:rRNA from 1 species